GACGAACGCUGGCGGCGUGCUUAACACAUGCAAGUCGAACGAAGAGCGAUGGAAGCUUGCUUCUAUCAAUCUUAGUGGCGAACGGGUGAGUAACGCGUAAUCAACCUGCCCUUCAGGGGGGGACAACAGUUGGAAACGACUGCUAAUACCGCAUACGAUCUAAUCUCGGCAUCGAGGAUAGAUGAAAGGUGGCCUCUACAUGUAAGCUAUCACUGAAGGAGGGGAUUGCGUCUGAUUAGCUAGUUGGAGGGGUAACGGCCCACCAAGGCGAUGAUCAGUAGCCGGUCUGAGAGGAUGAACGGCCACAUUGGGACUGAGACACGGCCCAGACUCCUACGGGAGGCAGCAGUGGGGAAUCUUCCGCAAUGGACGAAAGUCUGACGGAGCAACGCCGCGUGAGUGAUGACGGCCUUCGGGUUGUAAAGCUCUGUUAAUCGGGACGAAAGGCCUUCUUGCGAAUAGUGAGAAGGAUUGACGGUACCGGAAUAGAAAGCCACGGCUAACUACGUG
rnacentral:rRNA from 1 species